CUGUAAUUGGAAUGAGUACACUUUAAAUCCUUUAACAAGGACCUAUUGGAGGGCAAGUCUGGUGCCAGCAGCCGCGGUAACUCCAGCUCCAAUAGCGUAUAUUAAAGUUGUUGCGGUUAAAACGUUCGUAGUUGAACUUGUGCUUCAUACGGGUAGUACAACUAUAAUUGUAGUUUGUACUGUACCUUAUGUAUGUAAGCGUAUUACCGGUGGAGUUCUUAYAURUAAAUACUUUAUUUUCCUCCUAUUUAAACCUGCUUCAGUGCUCUUYAYCGAGUGUUGUUGUGGGCCGGUACAAUUACUUUGAACAAAUUAGAGUGCUUAAAGCAGGCUCCAAAUGCCUGAAUAUUUUGUGCAUGGAAUAAUGAAAUAAGACCUCUGUUCUACUUUCAUUGGUUUUUAGAUCAAGAGGUAAUGAUUAAUAGAAGCAGUUUGGGGGCAUUAGUAUUACGACGCGAGAGGUGAAAUUCUUGGACCGUCGUAAGACUAACUUAAGCGAAAGCAUUUGCCAAAGAUGUUUUCAUUAAUCAAGAACGAAAGUUAGAGGUUCGAAGGCGAUCAGAUACCGCCCUAGUUCUAACCAUAAACGAUGCCAGCUAGCAAUUGGGUGUAGCUACUAUCAUGGCUCUCUCAGUCGCUUCCCGGGAAACCAAAGCUUUUGGGCUCCGGGGGAAGUAUGGUUGCAAAGCUGAAACUUAAAGGAAUUGACGGAAGGGCACCACCAGGAGUGGA
rnacentral:rRNA from 1 species